UAGGGAAUCUUCCACAAUGGACGCAAGUCUGAUGGAGCAACGCCGCGUGAGUGAAGAAGGUUUUCGGACCGUAAAGCUCUGUUGUUGGUGAAGAAGGAUAGAGGUAGUAACUGGCCUUUAUUUGACGAUAAUCAACCAGAAAGUCACGGCUAACUAUGUGCCAGCAGCCGCGGUAAUACGUAGGUGGCAAGCGUUGUCCGGAUUUAUUGGGCGUAAAGCGAGCGCAGGCGGAAGAAUAAGUCUGAUGUGAAAGCCCUCGGCUUAACCGAGGAAUUGCAUCGGAAACUGUUUU
rnacentral:rRNA from 1 species